UUUGGUGGCGAUAGCGAAGAGGUCACACCCGUUCCCAUACCGAACACGGAAGUUAAGCUCUUCAGCGCCGAUGGUAGUUGGGGGUCUCCCCCUGUGAGAGUAGGACGCCGCCAAGC
rfam:Bacillus pumilus SAFR-032, complete genome.